rnacentral:lncRNA from 12 species
AUGUCCGCACUCACAGGAGCCUGGCUUCCUCAGGACCCCCUGGAGGACUCUGGAGGCGCCGUUGGGGGCCACGUCCAUAUCAGAACGGACUCCUCUGAACCACAGGGACCCACUGUGAAGUUUUUGGAAGAUUUGGGGCCACAUCUAUGCUGACAGGAGCCCCCAGCCUCCUCAGGUCUUACGGUGAGGCUGAGGAAAAUGUGGGGCCACGUCAAUCCUGACAGGACCUGGACUUUGGCUUCUGGAAAUAUGGGGCUGCGACUAUGCUGACAGGAGCCCACAGCCUCCUCAGGAUGCGCCGUGAGUUUUCUGGGGGAUGUGGGGCCAUGUCCAGGCUGACAGGAGCCCCCGGCCACCUGAGGACCUGCUUGAGGCUUCCAGAGGAUGUGAGGCAUAGUUCACAGUGACAGGAGACCCAGCGUCCUCAGGACCCGCUGACUAUGACUCAGGAACACGUGGGGCCACGUCCGAACUCACAGGAGCCCUGCUUCCUCAGGACCCCCUGGAGGACUCUGGAGGCGCCGUUGGGGGCCACGUCCACAUCAGAAGGGACUACUCAGAACCACAGGGUAAGUGAAUGGGUAGAAUAAUGGUAGGGUCAGGGGAGGGGAGGCAGUUGGUGGUUAGGGUUAGGUGAGAUGUUAGGGGUUAGUGAUUAUGCUUAUGGUUAUGGAUUAGAGGUUAGGGUGAGGGAUAAGGGUAAGGGUCAGUGGUUAGGAGUUAGGAUGGGUGUUAGGGAUUAGGGAACAGGGUUAGGGUUAGCGAUAGGAUUUAGAGUUAGGGUUAGGGUUUAUGCUUUAGGGAUUAGGGCAGGAGGUUUGGAGGUGGGGUUAGGGUUAUGGU